rnacentral:rRNA from 1 species
GAAAGUGAAGGCCUUCCGCGCGGUUGGCUUAGGCGAGAUCCUGCUCGAUGGCAGGCGCAUCGCCGGCCCAUCUCGAACGCUCGUCGUUGAGGUGGAGCUAGAGCGUGCAUGUUGGGACCCGAAAGAUGGUGAACUAUGUCUGAGUAGGUCGAAGCCAGAGGAAACUCUGGUGGAAGACCGUAGCGAUUCUGACGUGCAAAUCGAUCGUCAAACUUGGAUAUAGGGGCGAAAGACUAAUCGAACCAUCU